GUCACACUGAACAGCAGAUUGUUGUCUCAAGCCAGUGCUGAUCAAUGACAGUUUAGCUGCAGUAUGACAGAGAAGAGAGGAAAGAUGAGUCUCUCACAGAAACAGAGUGUAAGAUCAGGAUCACAUGUGUCUGUGAAGAGUGACCGGUCAAAGGAUGUACCACUGAAAUUCAGUGAAGAAACACCGUCACAAACCGAAUGGCUUCAGUAUGAGACAUUAGAUCCAGAUUUACAGUCUCACAGGAACCACAAGAAUUUUACAGACAGUCUCCUGCAGAUCUUCCAGGAUCUUGAGAGCAAAAUAAUCACAUUUCUUAAGAAAGAACUGGAAAAGUUUAAGAAAAUAUUACAAAAAGAGGACAUGCAGUACUUUGUGAAGGACUUUAAUGAGAACAGAUGCAGUAUGAAAGAAGCAGCUCUUGAUCUCACGCUCAACUUCUUGAGAGAGAUGAAGCAAGAUGAAGCUGCUGAUACUCUAGAAGGUAAGAAACUCGUAAUCAUCUGUCAGAUUGUAACUUCUAAAUGUAAAGAGAAAAUAAGAUUAAACUAUCUGUAUUUUUGUU
ensembl:lncRNA